UACGUGAGCCCCAAGCGUUGUCCGGAAUCACUGGGCGUAAAGGAUCCGUAGGUGGAAUAAUUAGUCGAUGGUUAAAGACCCGGGCUCAACCCGGGGAAGGCCAGCGAAACGGUUAUUCUUGAGUAUGUGAGGGGUGUGUAGAACUCUCGGUGUAGGGGUGAAAUCCGUUGAUAUCGAGGGGAAUACCAAAAGCGAAGGCAGCACACUGGCACAUUACUGACACUGAAGGAUGAAACCCUGGGUAGCGAAUGGG
rnacentral:misc_RNA from 1 species